CAAGGGCUGCAGGGACACGGUUCCAACUGCUUCCUGGAACGGAGCGGCGUGGGGCCAGGGGCCAGGGAAGGCAGGCAGGGAGCCUGCCCUGGCCCCAGUGAGCACCCCUGCCACCCCGGAACCACUCUAGACACUGCCCUUUGAUGAUGAACUUUAAGGAUCAUUGGAGAUGCCCAGACCUCAGCACACCAGUGAGGACAUUUGGCCAUCACAACUGAGCCAGCAAGGACCCUAGGUUGAUACAUGUGAAAUCCUGCUUUGUCUUCCCUUUCCUCUUAUGUUCUUUCCAGUUCCUCACUAUCUUCCUCCUAUUCCUUUCUUCUCUCUGCAUGCUUUCGACCUGACCCUGAGACCAGCUGCAACAUACAAUACCAGCACAAAAAGAUAAGGCCAUCUAGCUUGAGACGGACUGGUAAAGAGAAACAAGCCAGGGUCCAGAGCAACUGCUGUCCUGGCUGACCUGCCAGCCCAGAGCAUCCAUCUGUGAUUGACUGGCCAUCUUGACUUUGGGAACGUCAACAAAAAGCUGUAUUUCCUCACCCUUGCAUCUAUCUUUCUGCUCAAAAGCAGGAGUAACCACAAAACUCACAGCUGAGGUUUGUCUGCACUACAGAGCAUUGGCCAAUAUAGCUGUGCCAGCAGAGGACUGUCAUAUAGAUACCCUGUAAGCCAGCAGAAGGCGUUCAUCUGCGAGCAUAGCUACACAACCUCCCUGAACAACAUUAGCUAUGCUGACAGAAGCACUCUCCUGGUGGCGUAGUUACAGCUAUUCAGGGUUUUUUGCCAGCAUGGCUGUGGUGUUGGGUUUUUUUCACACUUACAGCUGACAUAGCUACACUGGCAAAACUUUGCAGUGUAGACCAGGCCUGAAUUUUAAAAAAUCCAACAACAGAACUUACCUUUCUCUCACACACACACACACACACACACACACACACACACACACACACACACACACACACACACACACACACACACACACACACACACACACACACACACACACACACACACACACACACACACACACAGAGGUCAUAUCUACAUUACAAACUUCUGCUGGCAUAGCUAUGUCUGUCAGGAUGUGAAGAGGCCCCGAUUGACAGCUAUAUUGUCAGAGCAGCUUAUAUUUGCAAAAAUGUAGUUUUGCCAGUAUAACUGCAUCUACACUUGAGAUAUUUGCCAGUCAGGUAUGUUGGUCACAAUCAAACCCCUGGCCAUCAUAGAAUCACAAACGUGGGUCUGGAAGGGACCUCAAGAGGUCACCUGGUCUCUUUCCCCACAUUGAGGCAGGAUUAGGUAUGCUUAGACUAUUGUAGGAAAAGUUCAUAGUUUGACCUUGUGAUGCUGUAUGGAAUCUGGGGGGCACUUGAGGAUAUUAUGAAUAUUAAUAUUGUAAAAUUGUAAUGUUAUGUCAGAUAUGCCAUGUAAGGUAUCUGCAAAAAUGUUAUGAUUUGCCAGAUAUGAUAAACUCAUUUAUGGGUUUGUAUCACCUUUGUAUUAUGAGUUAUAGAUAUGUAUAUCUGUAUUUCAAACUUGUGCUAUGUUCUGGGUGUCACUUCCAGACAGUUUGGCAUCAGCACUGCCUAGCCUGCUUGAUGGCUCAUUGAGAACCAUCAACUAUAUAAUUGACCCAUUGAGAGAAGACAGAUACAUCUUAUGACUCAGCAAAGCAUGCAGGGGCAGGCCUAUGGACAGGACUCUACGGCUUUCAGGCCGUGUGCUGGGCAGCUGGUGUUUGAAACAAAGGAAGCACAGGCUGCAUGGCAAAAGACUAUAAAAGGCAGCUGCAUCUUCUCCAUUUUGUCUUCAAUCCUGCUUCUUACUUCUGGAGUAACCUUUCUACAAAUGAAGCUCUGAACAAAGGACUGAAUGACCCAUCAAAGCUGUGGAUGGGAGUGGACCACAUCCACCCUGACUGAAUUGGCUUUGUCAACACUGGUUCUCCACUUGUAAGGUAACUCCCUUUUCUUCAUUUGCAAGUAUAUUUAUACCUGUUUCUAUAAUUUUCACUCCAUGCAUCUGAAGAAGUGGGAUUUUUUACCCAUGAAAGCUUAUGCCCAAAUAAAUCUGUUAGUCUUUAAGGUGCCGCCAGACUCCUCGUUGUUUUUGUGGAUACAGACUAAUGCAGCUACCCCUUUGAAGCUGUGGAUGUGAUCCAGAGGGAUUUUCAAGCUGGCAAACUCACCAAUACUGCUAGGAACCUGAUAUAUGGACUUUGAAGUCUUUGUAUGUAUGUAACUGCUUUACAAUUUAACAUCUCUCUUCUUGUUCUUCCUUUUUUCUUUAUAAUAAACCUUUAGUGUUAGAUACUAAA